rnacentral:rRNA from 1 species
AAGGUGGGGAUGACGUCAAAUCAUCAUGCCCCUUAUGAUUUGGGCUACACACGUGCUACAAUGGACAAUACAAAGGGUAGCGAAACCGCGAGGUCAAGCAAAUCCCAUAAAGUUGUUCUCAGUUCGGAUUGUAGUCUGCAACUCGACUAUAUGAAGCUGGAAUCGCUAGUAAUCGUAGAUCAGCAUGCUACGGUGAAUACGUUCCCGGGUCUUGUACACACCGCCCGUCACACCACGAGAGUUUGUAACACCCGAAGCCGGUGGAGUAACCAUUUGGAGCUAGCCGUCGAAGGUGGGACAAAUGAUUGGGGUGAAGUCGUAACAAGGUAGCCGUAUCGGAAGGUGCGGCUGGAUCACCUCCUUU